rnacentral:tRNA from 1 species
UAGGGGGUGGCAUAGUUGGAAGUGCGGGGGAUUUUGAUUUCUCAGGUGCAGGUUCAAUUCCUGUCUCUCUAAGGUGGAA